rnacentral:rRNA from 1 species
UACAGAGGUGGCAAGCGUUGUUCGGAAUUACUGGACGUAAAGGGCGCGUAGGCGGUCCGAUAAGUCCUGUGUGAAAUCCCUCGGCUCAACUGAGGAACUGCACGGGAGACUGCCGGGCUGGAGUGCCGUAGGGGCAGGCGGAAUUCCGGGUGUAGCGGUGGAAUGCGUAGAGAUCCGGAAGAACACCGGUGGCGAAGGCGGCCUGCUGGGCGGCGACUGACGCUGAGGCGCGACAGCGUGGGGAGCAAACAGG